UGCUCCUUCCUUAGAAUUGAAGGUCAAUACUCUUUCAAAUUUUUCCCUUUCAUUAUAUCUCUCUUUCUCAGGAUCGCUGUCCCCCUCGUUACAAUUGAAUGAGGACAUGGCAGCAAUCCCCGGUGAAUCAUCACCAGUACCCUCCACCUUUCUUUGAGAUUUGGGACCAGAUCGUUCUGCAUCCAAAUCUUCAUUUUCAUAUUCGUCAUUCUUCCUAUUUCUUUUAUAAUCCCUUCUAUGCUGACCGUGGCAGGCAUUACGGACUUUGUCCUUCUCAAUACACCCUUUUUGAAUAUCAUGCUCAAGAUCAAGGCGAUCAACACUGGAGUCUGAAUCAGCAGCUGAUGGAAGAGCUCUAUCCCUCUGGAGAUAUAGAGAAGAUAAGAACAUAGCAUCUUUAAGUUUAAAGGUAAAUGCAGGAACAAAUCACUCUGUUCGCAAAACUAACAAAUAUUUUAUUUGAAUAAUUCAAAGUAUGUAACAUUUGAACAACAAUUUGCUAACCUAUUUACCAGUUCAGUGUACAAAAAGAAGUGCCAUCAAUAGAUUCACAUACAAAGGGAAUUUAAGAUUAUCUUAGUGUUAUCGCAAUUGUGGAGACUGUCCUAAAAAGGAUAUGGCCUACAUUGUUGGAGGAGAGUAUAAUAUAUAGCAAUUGAAGAAGCAACUAGAAUUGAAAAUUCUAUAAUUUGUUGAUUCACCUGAACUGUCUGAGCUCUCAUGGCAGAAUGCAUUAUAGCAUUCUUGUCAUCAUUCCUAACUUUAGACUCUUUCUCAGGAUCGCUGUCCCCCUCGUUACAAUUGAAUGACGACAUGGUAGCAACCCCUGGUGUAUCAUCACCGGUACCCUCCACCUUUCUUUGAGAUUUGGGAACAGAUUGUUCUGCAUCCAAAUCUUCGUUUUCAUAUUUGUCAUUCUUCCUAUUCCUUUUAUAAUAUCUUCUAUGCUGACCAUGGCAGGCAUUACGGACUUUGUCCUUCUCAAUACACCCUUUUUGAAUAUCAUGCUCAAGAUCAAGGCGAUCAACACUGGAGUCCGAAUCAGCAGCUGAUGGAAGAGCUCUCUCCCUCUGGAGAUAUAGAGAAGAUAAGAACAUAGCAUCUUGAAAUUUAAAGGUAAAUGCAGGAACAAAUCACUCUGUUCACAAAAGUAACAAAUAUUUGAUUUGAAUAAGUCAAAGUAUGUAACAUUUGAACAACAAUUUGCCAACCUAUUUACCAGUUCAGUGUACAAAAAAAGUGCCAUCAAUAGAUUCACAUACAAAGGAAAUUUAAGAUUAUCUUAGUGUUAUCGCAAUUGUGGAGACUGUCCUAAAAAGGAUAUGGCCUACAUUGUUGGAGGAGAGUAAAAAUAUAGCAAUUGAAGAAGCAACUAGAAUUGAAAAUUCUAUAAUUUGUUGAUUCACCUGAACUGUCUGAGCUCUCAUGGCAGAAUGCAUUAUAGCAUUCUUGUCAUCAUUCCUAACUUUAGACUCUUCCUCAGGAUCGUUGUCCCCCUCAUUACAAUUGAAUGAGGACAUGGUAGCAAUCCCUGGUGUAUCAUCACCAGUACCCUCCACCUUUCUUUGAGAUUUGAGACCAGAUUGUUCUGAAUCCAAAUCUUCGUUUUCAUAUUCGUCAUUCUUCCUGUUCCUUUUAUAAUCUCCUCUAUGCUGAUCAUGGCAGGCAUUAUGGACUUUGUCCUUCUCAAUACACUCUUUUUGAAUAUCAUGCUCAAGAUCAAGGCAAUCAACACUGGA
rnacentral:lncRNA from 1 species